rnacentral:rRNA from 1 species
UACAGAGGGGGCAAGCGUUAUUCGGAAUUAUUGGGCGUAAAGGGCGCGUAGGCGGCUUGGCAAGUGGAUGGUGAAAUCCCUCGGCUUAACCGAGGAACUGCCGUCCAAACUGCUUCGCUUGAGACCGGGAGAGGUGAGUGGAAUUCCCAGUGUAGCGGUGAAAUGCGUAGAUAUUGGGAGGAACACCAGUGGCGAAGGCGGCUCACUGGACCGGUACUGACGCUGAUGCGCGAAAGCGUGGGGAGCA